UUUUAAAUAAAUGUCAAAAGAGGAUUUACUUAAUGACAUUUCCUUUAAUUGUCUUAUGAUUAUAAUGCUAAAUAUUAAGCCUAAAUUAAGAUAUAAAUUUAAAUAGAAUAUGAAAAUUGAUAUAUUGACUAAUAAUAUCCCGUAUCCAUUCUUUGUAUGAUUCUCAAUUUGCACUUUAGUCCUUCUCUCCCAAUUGAAAGAAUGGGCCCAAAUUAAAAAAAUAACAUGGAACUCCUCCCUUCCAUCAGUUUCGGCCCCUCCCCCAAAUCACCCCUUACUUCCACAAUUCACCACAAACCCUAGAUUGGAGGCUUCUCCAAUUCCGAGCCGUCGUCUCUGGCGAAUCAACGCCAACCGCCCAUCGAUCUCUUGCCCUCUCCGCUUCAACACAGGAAGGAAGGGGCCAAAACUUGCAGAGGCAGCGGCGCUCCUCUUCCUUUCGUGGCGGAGUCACGGAUGGGGCUGAGGCGUCACUUCGGAGGUCGCGACCUCGCCGCCUCUUCCUCUACUGCCGGUGUAUCAGCCGCCUCAGGGAUAGCUUACGGCGCCUGGUCGAAGUCGACCGGUGUCAUUCCCCUUCGGCUAGACUCGGUACUGCCCCAGCCCGCCAUCGUCCUGGCUCGCCGUCGCCUUCGUCCGGCAGAAGCUAAGUCUCUAUCCUUUCCCUCUCGUCUUAUUUAUUCAAGCACAGGGAGGUAAAUUUUUGGAGGAUUUAAGUGAGUCUUGCUCGAUUGUUUUGCUGAGUAGUUAAAUUUGGUGAUGUUGUGAUGUUAUGCUCUGAUUGUAUAUGUGACUUGAAGCUUAAGUUUCGUUCAUUCACGCAUUUGGGUUUAAGGCAGAUUAGCUACAUUGUCUUGGGGAAAGGUCUGAAUUUGCCUAAUGUUCCAUUUGAAAUUAGAGGCAGCAUGCUUGGUGAUGUUGCUAUCUGUGAUGUUCUACUGUUAGCCUCGGCUCUUAGCUAUCUAGUGCCUUAUGCUAUAUGAUGCUAGUGUGAUUUUGAGGAUUUACCUCUUGUGACUGAUGAGUGAGGCUGCUCCUUACUCCUGCUCGAUCCUUCGCACUCCCCAACCUUUGUCUUGCUGAAAGUAUUUGUGUGGUGUGUGGGGGUGGAACCGAGAGGUUCAGCAUGUGUAUAUAUACACAUUUCUUGUAACUGAAAGCUGCAAAAGCUGAGUGUUGGCUGGAAAAAAGACUCCACAGGCUGUGCAGCUGGCUGCGUUACUCUGCAACUCUGCAGAGCAUGUACUCUGAGUUUCUUUGGCUUCUUUCCCAACUGAUUUUGGGGCUUAUGGUGGUGUACUCGUGGUUUUACUAGAGUUGCUGAGUCCUUGCUAUGUCCUACACCCUUUAACUGUUUUUGGCUUAUUGUGGGAUCUAGUACCGAUCUCAUUUAUGAAUUUUCGUCCCUUGUUGCAGGUGCGCUCAGGAGCAGGUAUUGGGUGGCUGAUUUCUGGACCAUAGCAGGUCUGAAUGGAGGUGGUACGGGCUGCUCAUUGAUGGAGUGAAAGGCUGGCUGGAAUUUGCUUCUUUAGCUCAAGCAAUUUCUCCAUUUUUCAAAAGGACCAAGAGGCUGGCUCCACGUGGUUCAUUCCCUAAUCUCCCAGCCCGUCGGACCCCUCCUGAUCUGGGCCGAGACGGCUCGCGCUGAGGGCCGAGGAAGUUCUCUAGGAACUCUCGGUUGUAGUAGUUCACUUUGAACUCUCCUUUGUUCUUUUCUCUUUUCUUUGUUUCAACACAUGUAUUAUUAACUAGUUGUUGGAUCUCGUUUCAUGUUUUAUCAUCGUCGAAGAUUGUAAUUUAUUAGUUUGAAAUUCUGGAAAUUGUAUUUGUACUCUUUUUCAAGAAAUAAAAAUACUCAUUCAUUCUUUAAUAAAA